rnacentral:rRNA from 1 species
AUUGAACGCUGGCGGCAGGCCUAACACAUGCAAGUCGAGCGGAUGACGGGAGCUUGCUCCUUGAUUCAGCGGCGGACGGGUGAGUAAUGCCUAGGAAUCUGCCUGGUAGUGGGGGACAACGUUUCGAAAGGAACGCUAAUACCGCAUACGUCCUACGGGAGAAAGCAGGGGACCUUCGGGCCUUGCGCUAUCAGAUGAGCCUAGGUCGGGUUAGCUAGUUGGUGGGGUAAUGGCUCACCAAGGCGACGAUCCGUAACUGGUCUGAGAGGAUGAUCAGUCACACUGCAACUGAGACACUGUACAGCCUCCUACGGGAGGCAGCAGUGGGAAAUAUUGGACAAUGGGCGAAAGCCUGAGUCAGCCAUGCCGCGUGUGUGAAGAAGGUCUUCGGAUUGUAAAGCACUUUAAGUUGGGAGGAAGGGCAGUAAGUUAAUACCUUGCUGUUUUGACGUUACCGACAGAAUAAGCACCGGCUAACUCUGUGCCAGCCGCCGCGGUAAUAC